AGGAGAUAACCCAUAUGUUUUCUGGUAAUGGAAUAGAGAGUUUGGCCAAGGAAUCAAAAUUAACAGUUCUUGAGAAAAUUCCUCUUGAUCAGGCCCUGGUUAGAUGCUGUGAGGAGUAUCUUUGAUCGCUACCCUGAUUCUAGUAUACUGAAUCCAAUAGAAAGAUUAGCACAAAGGUUCCUGCAACUACCAAACAGGUGAUAUGUAUGGAAAGCAGAUGGAAGUUUUCAGGUCCUUUACCCUAUCUUAACUGGGCUAUUUUAGACCAGGAUAUACAGGGGGGUGGGGGUGGGAUCUCGGCCGCUGAUUGCACGAUCGCCACGAAAAUUUGCAUGCGCGUAGAGCCAGAUGUAAACUACAAGACUGUAUAAUAAAAGUUUUCAAAAAUUGAUUAUUUAUGUAUUAUUAAUUAAUUUUGCAAAUAAGUGUAUGAAAUUUGCCCUUAUUUUUUUUUUGUGUGUGUGUUUUUGCCUUUAACUCAAUUAAUAAAGCUAGUAGAAUGCUAAUUUUUGGUUGGAAUUACAUUUCUAACAAAUAUCUACAUAAAAUUGCAAAAAUGUAAUAAAUUUCAAAUGUAUUUUUAGUUUUUUCAAACUUUUUUUAUUUUAUUUUUUCCAAUAAACUUUGUUGGGGACACUUUUGCAAUCAUAUAUAGCAUAAAAUAAAUCCAUUCAAUCCAACAAAAGUAAAAAUAAUCAUACAUUUUUUAUUUUUGGUUGAAAAAACACAAUUUGCAUUGACUUUUUACACGGAAUCACGUUUUUGAGCGAUUUCGGGUCUGAUAUGCAUUCAAAAAAUGAUGUGUAAUUUCGGGACCGUGUACCCGGACGCUGCAAAUUUGGUCUCAAAAGAUGCACAAGACUUGAAGGUAAAAAGUCAGCGAGCAGCGCGGACAAAAGAUUUCGCUUGAUGGCGUAGUGACGAAAUUUUUAAUAAGGGUUUAAUAAGGGUUAAAUAGAGUCAUACAUUCUAAACUGAUAUGCAUCGGCUAUAGUUUACGUAACGCAACAUUUGCUCUUAAGUAGGACAAUUGUUCCACUUAUUUCUCCUAGGAUUUUAGGCGAGGGUUAAGGUCGGGAUGGGGUUUUUAGUUCAGAAUUAUGUUAGGAUUAAGGUUAAGGUAAGAUUUGAAGCUUGGGACAUUGUAAUGUAUUUUAUAGAGCUAAGAGUCUUCACCGAUUGUUUCAAUGACUUACUAUUUGUUAAAUAAUCUUUUUAAUUGUUGUUCUGUGUUCACCUGCUACUUAUUACUAUAUAUCAAUAUGAAUUUUGUAUACCUGAGAUGAUCAUUCAUGCAUGAGUUAGCAAAUACAACUUGAAGAAAGGAUAACAAAAAUUUACUUGGUGUGUUAAUUUCAAAAUAACAUGUAUUAAAACUUCAAUAUAUGUCUUGAUUUUAUACCUCAAUCAAAGAAAAAUAUCCAGGAAUAUAAAAAACUUCUGUUUCUUAAAAAUAUUAGCUCAUUGUCAUAAAUUCACAUAAAAUGUACAUUUGACAGAUUGCCUACCUUAGCUAUCACAUGUUUAACAAAAGACUUUAUGCAUGGGUGGUCAUGAACAAAUUGCAGUGUUGAAUAAGUUUAACAGCUAGCUGGUAAAACAUUUUGAUUUGAUACUAUUGAAAUUAAAGCAUUUUUUUCAAAGAAACACACCUUGUUAUUUCUUGAUCAUUUCCUUUGAUUGAGGUAUCAUAUUAAAGAACAGAUAUCAAAUUUUUGAGACGUGAUUUUUCUUUUGAAGUUUGAAUACUGUCUACCAAAUGAUUUUUGGUAUCCUUUCUUCGCACUCAUUUAUUGAUUAAAAGAAUUUUAACAUUCAACCCAGGUCCAUGGCACAGACCAAUAACAAUACACUAGUGCCAUUGUCUAAUUAUUUGUCUAAUUGUCUAAGUUAUAUCAGAAUAAAGAGGAGACUACAGUGGUUGGUCAUUUGUGUAUCAUAAUUUCUAAUAAAGUGAUGACAAAAAAAAAGUUUUUGGUUUCAUUUUCCUUGGAUGCACUGUAUAUUAUUUACAAACAGGUGACAUUCAUUGUCAAUACAAUUGAGAAUCUUGGGAAGGUACAAUAUGUCUUUAACUAAAGGAGUUUUUAUUUCAAAAUUGAUAUGCACAAGCUGCAAUAAAUCCUGUCUGUAUCUUAAUGGAAUGUGAAUAACAACUUACAAACUUGUGAAGUGUAGGUCCAAUCAAUAGUUCUAGCAUAAUAGUAGGUGUAUUGCAGUAUAUCCAUCCCAUUGACAGAACAAGCAGGACUUUGAGAAGAAGUAGCAAUCGAUUUGAAAAGAACAAAAUUCGAAAAAUGUACAGAACUAUAUUGUAUAUGUUCAAUGGUUUAUUACCAAAUAUAAAGGGGGCACACAUCUCACCUAGAUCUGCAGAUGUAUCCAAAGCAAUUAGAAUUAUAUGUAUGAUUGUGAAGGGGAUAAAUUUGCAUCUUUAGUAACAAUAGUAAGAAAUUAUGUUUUAUUUAAUGGGAUAAUAAAGGAAAGAAACCUCUUGCUGAGUCAAGUACUUCCUCAGUUUUUUGCCCAAUACUCAUGAGAUUUGGCACACACAAUGGUCUUGGGGCAGAGAGUUUGCAAUAGUAAGAACAUAAGUGACAAAUACUAUUUUCAUUUAAUAUAUCACCAAAUGCUGUCUUGAUAGGGAUGAUACAUCACAUUCAAUUAUGUACUUGCAUAUUUCUCAUUUCCAAUUUGUAUGCUUUGUUAUGUGUAUUAUUCUUCAUACAGAUUGAAUGAUAAUCACGAUUACAUAUUUUGCUAUUUUAUGUGUGGUUUUCUUAGUUGAUCAUAUGAUUUCUUUGCUGAUUUCUUCUUAGUUGGUGGAGUUGCUGAUUGGUCGCCUACUUAAUUGUUUGAUUUGUUUUGUUGAUCAGCUGCUUGGUUGGUUAAGUAAAAAUUGAUUGAUUGAUGAUUAAAUGUCUGAUCAAUCAA